GUACGAACGUUAUUCGGAAUUACUGGGCUUAAAGGGUGCGUAGGCGGCGCAGUAAGUUGGGUGUGAAAUCCCUCGGCUUAACCGAGGAAUUGCGCCCAAAACUACUGUGCUCGAGGGAGAUAGAGGUGAGCGGAACUUAGGGUGGAGCGGUGAAAUGCGUUGAUAUUAUGGGGAACACCAAAAGCGAAGGCAGCAGACUGGAGCACGCCUGACACUGAAACAAGAAAGCGUGGGUCGCGAAUGGG
rnacentral:rRNA from 1 species